GCUUCAAAGUAUGCACCCGCCAACUUCAGACUCCUUCAACGUUCAAACCCUGAGAAUUUCAACGUUUUUGAUCCCCAUUUUUCUCGCAGCUUCCAGAAGUUACUGAAUUUUCCACAAUGUUGCGUUCCAAAUCCAGAUCUAGUUAUUUGGAAUUUGGACAAAAGAAGCAUACAUCGUUUCUAGUUAGAAGCAUUUCUGGAUCAAAGCUUUGUAGAGGUGAUGCGCUUGCAUCACAAGUUGAUAAACAAGCCCUAGUUUCUGUCGAUCGCCAUUCGGUUAGCUUAUCUGAGAAUCGGAUAGUAAAAGCUGCAAUGAUGCAAAAACAAGUUAGUGAUCUAGAAGAGGAAUUGAAGAACACGAAAGCGAGAUUAGAGGAAGUGGAAACCGAAAGAAACCGAGCAGUUGCAGAGGUUAGAGAAGCUAAAGAGUUGGCUAAUGCAGGAUUAUCGCCUCAAAAAGCCGAACAAAUGUUUUCAGAGCUCAAGAGUUUACAAGAGUUGCUAUCGAAUUCGAAAAAAGAGAUUAAAUUAAGAGAUGAAGAGAUCAAUGAAUUGAGCAAGCGGCUUGAAUCCGCAAAGGUGUUCGAGGCUAAGUUAGCUGAUAGGGAUGCUUCUUUAGAGCAAUUCAAGAAACAGAUUCGAGAACUGGAAAAUGAACUGGAGAAAACGAAGAAAUCGGAAUCACAUAUGCUGGAAUCAUUGAUGCUGCAAACUCGACAAUUCGAGCAAACUAAAAUGGACUUAGAAGAAUCAAAGCUUGAUGUUGUGACCCUGCAAGAAAAGCUCAAUAGCCUUCAAAACGGCGGUAAAAACGGGUUCAAUCAAACGAGUAAUCUGGAUUCUUCUUCGAAUGCUAAAAUCCUGAGAGACGAAAUAGCUAUGCUGAGAAAAGAAGUGAAAUUAGCAACAGAAGCUGAGGAGACAAGCAAGAAAGCUAUGGAUGAUUUAGCAUCGGCUUUAAGCGAAGUAGCGAUGGAAUCCAGCACAGCGAACGAACGGUUACGAUUAUCAGAAGAACAAGUAGCCCAUUUGAAAAAGGAAAUCGAACGGUUACGUGAAGAACUUGAGUUACAAACGGAGACAUCUGAAAGAUUAAGAGUGGAGUCUGAAGAACAGGUUCUUGCAUGGACCGCGAAAGAAAUGGGAUUCAUAAGUUAUAUAAAGAAUGCCGACGAAGACAACGCGUCACUCAAACAAGAAAACCAUAAACUUAAUGAAGCUUUAGUUGCAGCAGAGAACGCCACGAGAAUCGCAAGAGAAGAAGGUUUGAAGCUAAGGGAUAUCCUCAAAGAAGCUCUGAACGAGUCAUCAGUUGCUAAAGAAGCUGCAAACAUCGCACGAGCUGAGAAUUCAGAGCUCAAAGACUUACUAGCCAAAAAGGAAGAACGGUUAAGAAUCAACGAAGAUGCUACUCAUGAAAACGCGAAGGGAUUCAACUCCCCAGAUUCUAUGCUUUAUGAAGACCAUUUAGAUGGAAGAACUACACCACCACAAAUAUUUAACUUUGAUGAGUUUAAAGCGUUUAGCAAAAACGACGAUAAUGUGGCAGAAUUUGUGGUAGAUGAUGAUCCUGAGAAAGCUGAAGUACUUAAAGGGUCGAUCUUUGAUACUAGCGCAUCACCUAGAUCAGAACUGCACACGCUAGAAUCGAAGGGGCAACAACAACGGGUUGCAACGGGUUUUGCUGAUUUGGGUGGGUCAGGUCAGUUUGAAGAAGUGGAGCAUAGUGUCAAUGGUGGUACUAAUGGUCACCACCACCACCAUCAUCACACGGAAGACGGUGAUGAUAAGGGGUCCUAUAUGUCCGGUCUUUAUAACCGGAAGAAAUUGUUUAGGAAGAUCGGAGAGCUUAUAAUCGGGAAAAAUAAUAAGAAAAAAGAGGGUUCCCUGGAGCAAGGUAAAGAAAAUGCAAAAGAACAAGGUAAAGAAAUGGCAGAAGAACAACUGAACAAGACACUAGCUUCAAAGAAUGGAACAUAGUUCUGCAAGAAGCCCGAUUUAUGGAAGUGGAUGCAGCCAUUACAAAUGUGAGGCCUUUAUGGUACUGUUUCAUGUUUGAUUCAUAUCCAAAUUCACUACAGUACGUGGCACGUUUGAAUGCAAGCAAGGUUCUGAAGUUGCAAGGUGCAUUGCUGACGAGCGAGCUAUCACCGUAGUGAGGUUAAACGGAAGAAACGGAAGCCCAAGAGAUAUGAGGGUUCUGAAACUGAUGUGAGAUUUUGGUUUAAUUUUAUAUCUAGUUUUGGAUGUUGUUGUUGUUGCCAAUUUAGGAACAGUUAGUUUUAUGAUUGUUGUUGUUAUGAUGUUAAAUCUAGCUAGUUAUGAUUUAGUUGAAAGGGUUUAGAAUUGUUAUAAACUUUUU